rnacentral:lncRNA from 1 species
CAUACUCUACCCGAGGCGUCAACACUUUUUUUUUUAAGAGAUAGGUAGCAUACUAUCUGCUUCGCUUAUUUUAUUUAGAAAUAAAUUUAGCUGGAAAUGUGAAUCAACUAGGAUUCGUACCAACCACCAAACCCUUUGCCACUUGCUCUAGGAACGGUUGGUCCGAGGCGUCAACACUAAUUAUCUGCCAAGGAGCUAUACAUAAAGCCAGACUAAAACUUAUUCCAAUCCUAGUUUAAUUAAAUUUAUACUCUACUUAAUCUUUAAAUUCUAAUAAAUUUAUCUUCAUUCGAUUUAAAUAUUUAUUAUAAUCUAACUAAGAUUCUACUACAAAUCUAACUAAAUCCUAACAAAGCCCACAA